AUGUACAUACACACACAUUUUAUUAGUCACAUGUAUAUCCAUCGUAUGAAUAGAAAUAAGGAAAUUGUGUAUUUCAGAACGGAUGAAGAACAUUCACUACGAUAAAUGAAAUUAUCAUCAUAAAUGGCUGGAUUAAAAUACACAAUAACAUUCAUUACUGCUAUUUGUUGGGGGUCAGUCGUAUCCGUAAAUACCAACUGGAGAAAAGCGAUGGAGACCUGUAUACUAACAGAUCAACAGCCUUCAUCUGAGGACAAUGCUACAAAGAAUGGUUCUUGGGUGGGCAAAGUUAAAUAUUCGUUCCCUUGGGGUACCGGGAUUUUGCAGAUACAGACGGUCAACAAAAAUAAUACAUGUUCAGAUUGUGAUGCCCAGGGAAAUCAGUGCGAAUUUUGUAAUAAUCGUAUCCAGCUAAAUGGUAGUGUUGCAAUCCUUGAAGUUCUAAGAAAUUUGAAGUCCGGAAGACAUUAUAUACUUGCAGAGUUUGGAAAACAAUCUUUAAGUGGACUACCUCCACCCACACAGUGUAUGGUACACAGAGGCGCUUCACAUACCGAAUAUGUCUCUUGCAAUGAAAAGUAUGAAGAUGGAUGUAAGACAUCGGGUGAAAAUUCCAGUACUUAUAUCACCAUUUCUUUUGAUAUGCAUUGUAAUGGUACAACACAAGCAGACAUGGAUUUUGUGAAAUAUGCCCCUGAAGAAAGCACUGGUGUCGAAAACGGUGAAAAUUCCAGUAUUUAUAUCACCUUUUGUUUUUAUGUGUAUUGUAAUGGUACAACACAUACAGAUAUGGAUUUUGUGAAAUGUGCCCCUGAAGAAAGCACUGGUGUCGAAAACGGAUUUGGAAUCACUGACAAUCGUAUUACAUAUAGAGAUUUAUUACCAAUACAUCACUCGAAUCUUCUGGGAAAGGAUUCAGCCCAUAGUUGAAUCCAAAUAAGUAAAUGAAUGACUAUAUGCCAGAAUAAACCAAUAGAAAAUACCAAUCCAUCUUAUCAUUUACCACCACAACGCCGUUAUAAUGGUACAAGCGCAUUAAGGCGUGUACUCAAUUAUGAGACCAUAGUUUACCCAUAACGAAAUGGUUCCAAUAAUGGAGACAGGAUUUCGGAUCUUUUAGGAUUUAUAGUCACAUUUAUGGGACCAAGAAAUGUGAAGUUUAUUUUAAUAUAUCAAUCAAAUCUUUGGCAAAGGUGGGGUUCAUUAGGCAUGCUUUAUUGCAUGUUAUUAUAACAUAUAAUACAAAUCAUCUACUAGUAUUUGUACUACUAGUACUCUAAAUUAUUUCUAAAACUUUUCGCAUUAUUGUAUUGUUUCUUCCAGGUGAAAAUGUCGGUGUCUAUAUCACUACUUGCUUUAGUGAAUAUGAUACUCGUAAAACACAGACAUGGAUUUUGUAGAAUGUGACUCUCAAGAAAGCAAUGGCAUCGGAAACGCAAAUUAAACUCUAUCUUGUUUGAGACCUCUUAAAAUCCAAAUAUCCUGUAUGGAUCCUCAGUGUACUGAACCAUUAAACCGCCAGUCCGUGCUUUCAGUAGGGUCCAGCGAGAUUGACUCAUUCACCUUCUCUGUACUGACUACAUAUAUUAAAGUAUUUAUGAUGUACCUGCUAACAUACCUGUAAGAUUUCAUAGCAAGUUAAAGCCAGUA